rnacentral:rRNA from 1 species
CGAAAGUUAGAGGUUCGAAGGCGAUCAGAUACCGCCCUAGUUCUAACCAUAAACGAUGCCAACUAGCGAUCCGCCUGAGUUCCUCAAAUGACUCGGCGGGCAGCUUCCGGGAAACCAAAGUGUUUGGGUUCCGGGGGAAGUAUGGUUGCAAAGCUAAAACUUAAAGGAAUUGACGGAAGGGCACCACCAGGAGUGGAGCCUGCGGCUUAAUUUGACUCAACACGGGAAAACUUACCCGGCCCGGACACUGGAAGGAUUGACAGAUUAAGAGCUCUUUCUUGAUUCAGUGGGUGGUGGUGCAUGGCCGUUCUUAGUUGGUGGAGCGAUUUGUCUGGUUAAUUCCGAUAACGAACGAGACUCUAGCCUACUAAAUAGGCGUUCCGAUCCUUUAUGUCGGACGUUCUUCUUAGAGGGACAAGCGGCUUUUAGCCGCACGAGACAGAGCAAUAACAGGUCUGUGAUGCCCUUAGAUGUCCGGGGCCGCACGCGCGCUACACUGAAGGAAUCAGCGUGUGCUUUCCCUGUCUGGUAGGACUGGGUAACCCGUUAAACCUCCUUCGUGAUAGGGAUAGGGAUUUGUAAUUGUUCCCUUGAACGAGGAAUUCCCAGUAAGCACGAGUCAUAAGCUCGUGUUGAUUACGUCCCUGCCCUUUGUACACACCGCCCGUCGCUACUACCGAUUGAAUGAUUUAGUGAGGUCUUCGGACUGGCGCUCGUAGCGACCUUUGGCCGCGCCGACGUGCCGGAAAGAUGACCAAACUUGAUCAUUUAGAGGAAGUAAAAGU